rnacentral:snoRNA from 1 species
UUGCUAUGAUGUCAAUCUUAGGACACCUUUGGAUUAACCAUGAAAAUAAAAUGUACUCUGAGCAAC